UAGCUCUCUCCCUCUCUCAAUCACUGGCCGAAGGUGGAGUGUGAGAGGCCUCAAAUUGAAGGCCAGCGGUGGACUAUACAAAUCACUCCCAAACAAUCACUCAGCGCAGAAUUCCAGAUUAUUUGCCAUGCCUUUGUGAUAAAGUUGUGGCAUGCUGCUGAUGCUGCAAUUGGUUUUUUUUUCUUCAUUUCAGAUGUAGAAACAGGAUACUACCCUUGGGAUCCUUGGCCUGAUUACAGGACUCAAAGGUGUUAAAGUAGAGAAAGCUAAAGUUUAUGGUAAUUCUGUGAGGCCAAGGUUGGCACAACAAUUGAAAGAAAUUUUCGCAAGAGUUCCAUUCUCAGACCCUACCAUUCCCAUUGUCAGCAAUCUUGAAGCAACUGAGCUGAGCAUCGAUGACAUUAACAAUGAUGACACUUUGCCUGCAACAUCCGCCUUCAUCUGUAAUAAAUAAGAAUAAAACAAGAGAUGAGGAAUGAAGAAAGAAAAAUUGUUUCAGGGAGGAUCAACUGACACAAAACCUAUGUGAGAAGUGAGAACAACUCAAGAAAGUAGUUAGGAGAAAAAUGUUCAGUUCAGGGCGAGAAGAAAUAUCUUCUGUACCCGGCACCUCUCAGCCUCAUAGAGACUCUAAUAUCGUUAAUUACACCAACAGACCAAGCCUCCCCCCAAACUUGACUUGCAAGUUUCCCCGCAAAAAGCUCUCCACGUCUACUCUUAGAUAACCUAAUAUCGAUUUAAUGGGGUAGAGGUUUACAUCAGUGUUUUAUUUCCAAUUUGAUUUUUCUUCCUUUUCUUAAGCAUUAGUUAUGUUCAAUUUGAUCCUUUUGUUUUCUGACUAACUCUAUACCA